rnacentral:rRNA from 1 species
CAGCAGCCGCGGUAAUACGGAGGGCGCGAGCGUUACCCGGAUUUACUGGGCGUAAAGGGCGUGUAGGCGGCCUGGGGCGUCCCAUGUGAAAGGCCACGGUUCAACCGUGGAGGAGCGUGGGAUACGCUCAGGCUAGAGGGUGGGAGAGGGUGGUGGAAUUCCCGGAGUAGCGGUGAAAUGCGCAGAUACCGGGAGGAACGCCGAUGGCGAAGGCAGCCACCUGGUCCACUUCUGACGCUGAGGCGCGAAAGCGUGGGGAGCAAACCGGAUUAGAUACCCCAGUAGUCCCUGUCUCUUAUAC